AUAUGUGAUGACUUAAACAUCUUCACUUUGACCUGAUUGUCCAGUGAUGAGAGUACUCUGUCUGAAU